rnacentral:rRNA from 1 species
UAGGGAAUCUUCGGCAAUGGACGGAAGUCUGACCGAGCAACGCCGCGUGAGUGAAGAAGGCUUUCGGAUCGUAAAGCUCUGUUGUUAGAGAAGAACGUUGGUAGGAGUGGAAAAUCUACCAAGUGACGGUAACUAACCAGAAAGGGACGGCUAACUACGUGCCAGCAGCCGCGGUAAUACGUAGGUCCCGAGCGUUGUUCGGAUUUAUUGGGCGUAAAGCGAGCGCGAGGGGUUCUUUAAGUCUGAAGUUAAAGGCAGUGGCUUAACCAUUGUACGGUUUGGAAACUGGAGGACUUGAGUGCAGAAGGGGAGAGUGGAAUUCCGUGUGUAACGGUGAAAUGCGUAGAUAUAUAGAGGAUCACCGGUUGCGAAGGCGGCUCUCUGGUCUGUAACUGUCGCUGAGGCUCGAAAGGGUGGGGAGCAAACAGG